GCUAUGGCAGCAACAGGAGACUAAUACACCUUGGCAGCCCUAUUUGCAUCACCUUGCGGGUACUGGGGUUUGGAGGAAUUGGCUCAGAUGCUGAUACCGUGGCUACUACUAUUGUGUCAGAAACGUGACUGAAACAUUUCUUCCUCUUAAGAGGCAUUAAGAGAAAAGGAUAGAUUUCCUGUUUCUUUUGCAAUUUUCCUCUUUAAGAAACAGAAAGAAAAAAAGAUCUUAUGUCCAUGCUCCUGGAAGUCACCAAUAAAUAAUACGGGCCAGGGCUUUUUCUUUUCAGCAGUGGGCUGAUUAAAUCCUUAUACUUGUUCUGGGUUAUAUGUCUGAAAUUUGUGUUCCUUUUGUUCUGAGGAGUACAAAAUAAUCAAUUCCUCUAAUGGAGAUUACCAGCUUGAUUAAUAGAUAAUCCUAAUGUGUUCUUUGUAAAAUACAUUAUAAAUGAUCUUUAAAGUUGAAGGAAAGAAGAUUGGGCCAUGUAGAAAUUUGGUUCUCAACAGAACCUCUUCUUGAUUGAAGAAAUAUAAGCAAAGAGUUUUAUAUAUUUCGGUAAGGGUAGGUAGUCUAUGCAUUUUCUGUUCUGAGUAUUACAAAAGGAAAAGGGAAUAAAAGCUUCUGCAUAUAGCAGAGAUAAACUCCAAAAGCAGGAGACCAGUGAAGCCCUGGAUCACUGCACUCCUCCAGCCUUCAAGGAGCAUGAAGAGGGUCCACAUAACAACAGAAGAUGCUUCAGAACAAAUUAUGAGUCCAUAAGAGAUAAAUUAGUGUCUUUAUUCAUUGCAAAGGAAUGGUUAUUAUAAAAAAAUCCCUGAUGCUGUCUCUCAGACUGAACUUACGUAUAGGCAGG
rnacentral:lncRNA from 1 species